rnacentral:rRNA from 1 species
UACGGGGGGGGGCAAGCGUUGUUCGGAAUUACUGGGCGUAAAGGGCUCGUAGGUGGCCAACUAAGUCAGACGUGAAAUCCCUCAGCUUAACUGGGGAGGGUCAUUCGAUACUGCUCGGCUCGAAGACAGGAGAGGGAAGCGGAAUUCCCGGUGUAGUGGUGAAAUGCGUAGAUAUCAGGAGGAACACCGAUGGCGAAGGCAGGUCUCUGGGCCACUACUGACGCUGAGAAGCGAAAGCAUGGGGAGCGAACAGG